CCUACGGGAGGCAGCAGUGAGGAAUAUUGGUCAAUGGCCGAGAGUCUGAACCAGCCAAGUAGCGUGAAGGAUGACUGCCCUAUGGGUUGUAAACUUCUUUUAUCAAGGAAUAAAACGAGGCACGUGUGCCUUUUUGCGUGUACUUUAUGAAUAAGCAUCGGCUAACUCCGUGCCAGCAGCCGCGGUAAUACGGAGGAUCCGAGCGUUAUCCGGAUUUAUUGGGUUUAAAGGGAGCGUAGACGGGCUGUUAAGUCAGGUGUGAAAGUUUGCGGCUCAACCGUAAGAUUGCAAUUGAUACUGGCAGUCUUGAGUACAGUUGAGGUAGGCGGAAUGCGUGGUGUAGCGGUGAAAUGCUUAGAUAUCACGAAGAACUCCGAUUGCGAAGGCAGCUUACUAAACUGCCACUGACAUUGAGGCACGAAAGUGUGGGUAUCAAACAGGAUUAGAUACCCGGGUAGUC
rnacentral:rRNA from 1 species